UACAGAGGUCCCGAGCGUUGUUCGGAUUCACUGGGCGUAAAGGGUGCGUAGGUGGCAUGGUAAGUUUGAUGUGGAAGCUCAGGGCUCAACCCUGAAAUGGCAUUGAAUACUACUGUGCUGGAGGUUUGGAGGGGGGACUGGAAUUCUUGGUGUAGCAGUGAAAUGCGUAGAUAUCAAGAGGAACACCAGUGGCGAAGGCGAGUCCCUGGACAACACCUGACACUGAGGCACGAAAGCUAGGGGAGCAAACAGG
rnacentral:rRNA from 1 species